rnacentral:rRNA from 1 species
UACGUAGGGUCCGAGCGUUGUCCGGAAUUAUUGGGCGUAAAGAGCUCGUAGGCGGUCUGUCGCGUCGGCUGUGAAAACCUGGGGCUCAACUCCAGGCCUGCAGUCGAUACGGGCAGACUAGAGUUCGGUAGGGGAGACUGGAAUUCCUGGUGUAGCGGUGAAAUGCGCAGAUAUCAGGAGGAACACCGGUGGCGAAGGCGGGUCUCUGGGCAACUACUGACGCUGAGGAGCGAAAGCGUGGGGAGCGAACAGG